rnacentral:lncRNA from 1 species
CGAAAGGGGGCUCGUGCUCUACUCGCGCGCUAGCCACCGGACUCCCCUCGCCUCGCGCUCAGCUCGCCUGGUUUCUGAUCCCCGCCAUGGAGGAGGCUGAGACGGACGCCACGGAAAACAAGCGCGCCUCUGAGGCCAAGCGAGCCUCGGCCAUGCUGCCACCGCCUCCGCCUCCCAUCUCUCCGCCCGCCCUCAUCCCGGCGCCAGCGGCCGGUGAGGAGGGCCCGGCGUCCCUGGCCCAGGCGGGCGCACCCGGCUGUUCUCGCUCUCGGCCCCCGGAGUUGGAGCCCGAGCGCAGCCUGGGCCGCUUGAGAGGCCGCUUCGAGGACUACGAUGAAGAGUUGGAAGAGGAUGAGGAGAUGGAGGAGGAGGAAGAGGAGGAGGAAGAGAUGAGCCACUUCUCUCUGCGUCUGGAGUCCGGACGGGCGGACUCCGAGGACGAGGAAGAGCGCCUGAUCAACCUGGUUGAGCUGACCCCCUACAUCUUGUGCUCCAUUUGCAAAGGUUACUUGAUAGAUGCCACCACUAUUACAGAAUGUCUCCACACCUUCUGUAAAAGCUGCAUUGUGAGACAUUUUUACUAUAGCAACAGAUGCCCCAAAUGCAACAUAGUCGUCCACCAGACUCAGCCUCUUUAUAAUAUAAGGUUGGACCGGCAGUUACAAGACAUAGUAUACAAAUUAGUAGUCAAUCUAGAGGAAAGAGAAAAAAAGCAAAUGCAUGACUUCUAUAAAGAAAGAGGUCUAGAAGUCCCUAAGCCUGCUGUUCCACAGCCCGUCCCUGCAAGCAAAGGAAGAACCAAGAAAGCCCUAGAGUCAGUGUUUCGUAUUCCGCCUGA